rnacentral:tRNA from 1 species
GGAGAGUUGGCCGAGUUGGCUGAAGGCGCUCGCCUGGAAAGCGGGUAAGCGUGAAAGCGCUUCGAGGGUUCGAAUCCCUUGCUCUCCGCCA